rnacentral:snRNA from 1 species
GUUCGCUUAGGCAGCACAUACACUAAAAUUGGAAUGAUACAGAGAAGAUUAGCAUAGCCCUUGUGCAAGGAUGACACACAAAUUCGUGAAGCAUUCCAUAUUUUU